AGUGGGGAAUAUUGGGCAAUGGGGGCAACCCUGACCCAGCCAUGCCGCGUGUGUGAAGAAGGCCUUCGGGUUGUAAAGCACUUUCAGCAGUGAGGAAAGGUUGUAGUUUAAUACGCUGCAACUGUGACGUUAACUGCAGAAGAAGCACCGGCUAACUCUGUGCCAGCAGCCGCGGUAAUACAGAGGGUGCGAGCGUUAAUCGGAAUCACUGGGCGUAAAGGGCACGUAGGUUGUUAAUUAAGUGUGAUGUGAAAGCCCCGGGCUUAACCUGGGAACUGCAUUACAAACUGGUUUACUAGAGUGUAGUAGAGGGGAGUGGAAUUCCACGUGUAGCGGUGAAAUGCGUAGAUAUGUGGAGGAACAUCAGUGGCGAAGGCGACUCUCUGGACUAACACUGACACUGAGGUGCGAAAGCGUGGGUAGCGAA
rnacentral:rRNA from 1 species